rnacentral:rRNA from 1 species
GGAAUAUUGGGCAAUGGGGGAAACCCUGACCCAGCAACGCCGCGUGAAGGAAGAAGGUCUUCGGAUUGUAAACUUCUUUGAUCAGCGACGAAAGAAAUGACGGUACCUGAAGAACAAGCCACGGCUAACUACGUGCCAGCAGCCCCGGUC